rnacentral:rRNA from 1 species
UGUAGGCUGAAACUCGCCUACAUGAAGCUGGAGUUACUAGUAAUCGCAGAUCAGAAUGCUGCGGUGAAUGCGUUCCCGGGUCUUGUACACACCGCCCGUCACACCACGGAAGUUGGGGGCGCCCGAAGCCACUUAGCUAACCCAUUUGGGAAGCGAGUGUCGAAGGUGAAAUCAAUAACUGGGGUGAAGUCGUAACAAGGUAAC